CCUACGGGGGGCUGCAGUGGGGAAUUUUGGACAAUGGGGGCAACCCUGAUCCAGCCAUUCCGCGUGAGUGAAGAAGGCCUUCGGGUUGUAAAGCUCUUUCGCAAGGGAAGAAAACUUACUCAAUAACACUGGGUGAGGCUGACGGUACCUUGAUAAGAAGCACCGGCUAACUACGUGCCAGCAGCCGCGGUAAUACGUAGGGUGCGAGCGUUAAUCGGAAUUACUGGGGGUAAAGCGUGCGCAGGCAGUUGGAAACCCCGGGCUCAACCUUGGAAAUGCGUUUGAAAAUACAAGGCUUGAGUAAGGCAGAGGGGGGUAGAAUUCCACGUGUAGCAGUGAAAUGCGUAGAGAUGUGGAGGAAUACCAAUGGCGAAGGCAGCCCCCUGGGUCAAUACUGACGCUCAUGCACGAAAGCGUGGGGAGCAAACAGGAUUAGAUACCCGGGUAGUC
rnacentral:rRNA from 1 species